GGAGCGGUAACUCAGUGGUAGGCAAGUGCAACGAUCAACCCCUAAUUUAACUACGCCGACUAAUAUACAGCAGAGUGCGGGAUUGCAGUAACAGCAAGUAUCCUGAGGUCAGGUGUUCGACCCACCUUCGCUCCU